AUACUUACCUGGAUGGGGUUAAUGAGUGAUCAUAAAGACUCAUGGCCUAAGUUGUUGACUUCCAUUGCACGUUGAAGGGGUGUCAAUUUAAGGUUUACCCAAGCGGUAAAGUUUACGUCAUAAUUUAUUGUAAUGGGGGUCUGUGUUCGUGCGACCCCUUC
rnacentral:snRNA from 1 species